rnacentral:lncRNA from 1 species
CUUUGCUGCCCAAGCUGGAGUGCAAUGACGCAAUCUCAGCCCGCUGUGACCUCCGCCUGCCAGGUUCAAGCAAUUCUCCUGCCUCAGCUUCCCGAGUAGCUGGUAUUACAGGCAGGCACCAACACUCCCGGCUUCUCCAUGUUGGUCAAGCUAGUCCCAAACUCCCGACCUCAGAUGAGAACACUGAUAUGCAGAAAAUACCUCACCCGAGUUCACCCAGUGAAUACAUGGCAGAAAGGGGAUUUGUAACCCAGCAGUCUUGGUUUAAACAUUCACAUAUGUCUAACUAGAAAAUGACACGUAAAUAGCUUUAUUAAAUUUGCCCGAUCUAAACUGAGUUAACGCUUUGUAAAUUAGUGCCUUCAAAUAAAACCUGUG